CCCUAGUAAACUUCACUAGUUUAUGUUCAUGCUUAUUUUUAUAUUAAACUUUCAGAAUAAUCAGAGUAUUUAACAUGUGACUAAAGGGAUCGGUAGAGCG